rnacentral:rRNA from 1 species
GAGCUAAUACCGGAUAAUAUUUUGUAACCGCAUGAUUCAAAAGUGAAAGACGGUCUUGCUGUCACUUAUAGAUGGAUCCGCGCUGCAUUAGCUAGUUGGUAAGGUAACGGCUUACCAAGGCAACGAUGCAUAGCCGACCUGAGAGGGUGAUCGGCCACACUGGAACUGAGACACGGUCCAG